UACGUAGGGGGCAAGCGUUGUCCGGAAUUAUUGGGCGUAAAGAGCUCGUAGGCGGUGUGUCACGUCGGCCGUGAAAACCUGCAGCUUAACUGUGGGCGUGCGGUCGAUACGGGCAUCACUGGAGUUCGGCAGGGGAGACUGGAAUUCCUGGUGUAGCGGUGAAAUGCGCAGAUAUCAGGAGGAACACCGGUGGCGAAGGCGGGUCUCUGGGCCGAUACUGACGCUGAGGAGCGAAAGCGUGGGGAGCAAUCAGG
rnacentral:rRNA from 1 species